CGAUUUAUUCCAUCGAUGCUGAGUUUACAAAACCGUUUUGGGUUUUCGGUGCUUCCUCCUUUGAUUUCAUCCCAACCAAUGGCAACAACAACUUAAUUUCUUGCAGCUACAGCUGUAAUUGAUAACAUGCAGACAGUUUGAGAUGAAGUGUAUGUGAGUUGGAUUAGUAAUAUGAUGGGAUGAAGAUGGGUUUGUGUUUUU